rnacentral:lncRNA from 1 species
GCAUAAUACCCAAAAUUGCUAGAAAAUUUUGCCAAAAUGUGUAAUUUUUCUUUCCUCUGCUGUCUAGUAGUGGGGGUGUGCCUGCAAGGAGAGACAAGAUCGUUGCUUGGUAGGACUUCUCCUGAGAAGUCCUUGCUGUAGUGUUUGCCGUCUGUGCUGCUUGGCUUUGGCAUUAUCUUCACCUACUCCUGCUUCCCUUGCACUACUGUGUGGAAAAAUCCAUCUGGAGUAUUGCUUGAUGAGAGCGGCUGCUCCAUACCUCUUAAGAAAUGAUGGAUGUGGCAACCGGACUUGCCCAGAAAGCCCUCAUGCAAUCUGCUGGAAACGUGUCUUUCAUCACAGAAUCAUAAAGUAAUUUAGGUUGGAAGGAGACUUUGGAGGGCAGCUGGUCCAUCUCCUCAGUCAGAGCAGAAACAGCUUUGAACUUGGAUUACCCAAGAAGGGAAAUCAAGUGUUCUGGGGAGGAAAAACCUUACAUACGAGAGCUGGACCUGCAACAGGUUUUUCUCUAUCUUGCCUAAUUCUCAGAGCCCAGAGCGACUGGGCUGCUAGGGCACAUCUGUUCCAACGAAACCCACUGCUAAGUUAAUUACAAAGGUCUCCUGUUGUAACUUGCUUUGCUAAUCCUCAAACAAUUUCAAAUUGAUUAUCUUGGCCUACUCUGGGUAAGACAGAAAAGUAAGUCCAAAUGUAAUAGAGGCUUCAUUACAAAGUGGACUAGUGAUGACAGCCAUGCAGAUAUGGGACACAUUAUAUAUUUUACCUUUAGGAAAUGAUAAUAUUUUACAUUGUGCGCUAAACCUUUGUAAAAAAAAACCCAUGUAAUAUAUCCAAAUAACAGAGCAGAUUAUAAGGCCACUAAAAAGGAUUAACGUUCAGAUGUUCCUGGGGAAGAAAAAUUGUUUAUAUCCUCCUUUAAUUGAAACCGUCCAUGUGAAAUAUGCUACAGCCUAAAUAUAUUAGAUUAUAAACUAUUGUCACGGGAGGAUGUAAGCAUAUAAUUGCCUCCUUUAAUU